rnacentral:rRNA from 1 species
UACGUAGGGUCCGAGCGUUGUCCGGAAUUAUUGGGCGUAAAGAGCUCGUAGGCGGUUUGUCGCGUCUGCUGUGAAAUCCCGAGGCUCAACCUCGGGUCUGCAGUGGGUACGGGCAGACUGGAGUGCGGUAGGGGAGAAUGGAAUUCCCGGUGUAGCGGUGAAAUGCGCAGAUAUCGGGAGGAACACCGGUGGCGAAGGCGGUUCUCUGGGCCUUACCUGACGCUGAGGAGCGAAAGCGUGGGGAGCGAACAGG